GCGGGAUGUGGUGGCACAUGCCAUUAGUCCCAGCUACUCAGGAGGCUUAGGCAUGAGAAUCGCUUGAGCCCAGGAGUUCUGGGUUGUAGUGCGCUAUGCCCAUUGGAUGUCUGCACUAAGUUCAGCAUCAAGAUGGUGACCUCCCAGGAGUGGGGACCACAAGGUUGCUUAAGGAAAAGUGAACCGGCCCAGGUCUGAAAUGGAGCAGGUCAAAAUUCCCAUGCUAAUUAGUAGUAGGAUCGUGCCUGGGCAACGUGGUCAGACCUCAUCUCAAAAACAAAAACAA
ensembl:misc_RNA Metazoa_SRP Metazoan signal recognition particle RNA